rnacentral:rRNA from 1 species
UAACGAUCCCGAAACUGGGGGAUAACGUAGCGAAAGUUUCGCUCAUACCGCAUACGAUCUAAGGAUGAAAGUGGGGGAUCGCAAGACCUCAUGCUCGUGGAGCGGCCGAUAUCUGAUUAGCUAGUUGGUAGGGUAAAAGCCUACCAAGGCAUCGAUCAGUAGCUGGUCUGAGAGGACGACCAGCCACACUGGAACUGAGACACGGUCCAGACUCCUACGGGAGGCAGCAGUGGGGAAUUUUGGACAAUGGGCGAAAGCCUGAUCCAGCAAUGCCGCGUGAGUGAAGAAGGCCUUCGGGUUGUAAAGCUCUUUUGUCAGGGAAGAAACGGUGAGAGCUAAUAUCUCUUGCUAAUGACGGUACCUGAAGAAUAAGCACCGGCUAACUACGUGCCAGCAGCCGCGGUAAUACGUAGGGUGCAAGCGUUAAUCGGAAUUACUGGGCGUAAAGCGUGCGCAGGCGGUUUUGUAAGUCUGAUGUGAAAUCCCCGGGCUCAACCUGGGAAUUGCAUUGGAGACUGCAAGGCUAGAAUCUGGCAGAGGGGGGUAGAAUUCCACGUGUAGCAGUGAAAUGCGUAGAUAUGUGGAGGAACACCGAUGGCGAAGGCAGCCCCCUGGGUCAAGAUUGACGCUCAUGCACGAAAGCGUGGGGAGCAAACAGGAUUAGAUACCCUGGUAGUCCACGCCCUAAACGAUGUCUACUAGUUGUCGGGUCUUAAUUGACUUGGUAACGCAGCUAACGCGUGAAGUAGACCGCCUGGGGAGUACGGUCGCAAGAUUAAAACUCAAAGGAAUUGACGGGGACCCGCACAAGCGGUGGAUGAUGUGGAUUAAUUCGAUGCAACGCGAAAAACCUUACC